rnacentral:rRNA from 1 species
UACGUAGGGGGGCGAGCGUUGUCCGGAUUUAUUGGGCGUAAAGAGCGUGUAGGCGGCUUGGCAAGUCCGCUGUGAAAACUCGAGGCUCAACCUCGAGACGUCGGUGGAAACUGCCUGGCUAGAGUCCGGAAGAGGAGAGUGGAAUUCCUGGUGUAGCGGUGAAAUGCGCAGAUAUCAGGAAGAACACCUAUGGCGAAGGCAGCACUCUGGGACGGUACUGACGCUGAGACGCGAAAGCGUGGGGAGCGAACAGG